GAUCAUGGCUCAGGAUGAACGCUAGCGAUAGGCCUAACACAUGCAAGUCGAGGGGCAGCACGAUGAGUAGCAAUACGAUGGUGGCGACCGGCGCACGGGUGAGUAACACGUGUGCAACCUACCUUUAACAGGGGAAUAACCCGUUGAAAAACGGACUAAUACUCCAUAACACAGGGGGUCCCGCAUGGGAAUAUUUGUUAAAGAUUAAUCGGUUGAAGAUGGGCAUGCGUUCCAUUAGCUUGUUGGUGAGGUAACGGCUCACCAAGGCCACGAUGGAUAGGGGAACUGAGAGGUUUAUCCCCACACUGGAACUGAGACACGGUCCAGACUCCUACGGGAGGCAGCAGUGAGGAAUAUUGGUCAAUGGAGGCAACUCUGAACCAGCCAAGUCGCGUGAAGGAAUGAAGGUCUUAUGGAUUGUAAACUUCUUUUGCAAGGGAAUAAAGUGGGGGACGUGUCCUCCUUUGCAUGUACCUUGCGAAUAAGGAUCGGCUAACUCCGUGCCAGCAGCAGC
rnacentral:rRNA from 1 species